UGAUGAAAUGAUGAGAUGAGAUGAGAUGUAAUGAUGAGAGGAAAUGAUGAGAUGUAAUGAAAUGAGAUGAAAUGAAUGAGAUGAAAUAAUGAAAGGAAAUUGAAUUGAUAUAUGAGAUGAAAUGAGAUAAUGAAAUGAUGAGAUGAGACGAGAAGAAAUGAGAUGAAAUGAGAUGAGAUAAAAUGAGAUGAAAUGAAAUGAAGUGAAAUGAAAUGAAAUAAUGAAAUUGAAAUGAGAUGAGAUGAAAUGAGAUAAAAUGAUGAGAUGAAAUGAUGAGAAAUGAGAUGAAAUGAUGAGAUGAGAUGAGAUGAACUGAGAUGAGAUGAGAUGAAAUAAUGAAAUUAGGUGAAAUAAUGAAAUGAGAUGAAAUAAUGAAAUUGAAAUGAGAUGAGAAGAAAUGAGAUGAAAUGUUGUAAUGAAAGGAGGAAAUGAUGAGAUGAGGAGAUGAAAUGAUGAGAUGAAUUGAGAUGAAAUGAGAUGAAAAAUGAUAUCAAAAAUAUGAG
rnacentral:lncRNA from 1 species